UGAGUUGUUGAGUUGGAGACACUUUAUAAACUCUGUGAAACUCUGUCUCUGACUCAUUCUGCAUUAUUUGGACCUUCUUGUUAAUUCUGCAAAUGUUCUACAUUAAUGUUUCUUUCUUGGUGUGAUAACCAUCAUUUGUUCCAGUGAUGUCUGUGCUCACAGAGGUGCCUCGUCGUUUGAAAAGGCCUGUUAUAAAGCGUUCACUGCAGCACUGUGUAAUACCACAGAGUCACAGCAGGUGGUGGUAACAGUGAGCAGGCAUGUCUGUGCGUGUUUGUGUUUAGAGUGACACUAACCCAGUGUCCUACUGAGCCGCUGGAACCAAACAUAAAACAACGCUCUGAUAACAAAACAGGACGAAUCGGAUCGCACGUUUGGACGAGAGCUUAUGUUCCGAGGCACGUCAUCACAUGUGGACCUGAGCGGAGCCGUGGAGCCACUCGUGUUGGGCCAUGUGAAAAAGAGUAAGAAAUGGGGAAAAAGGCAGUGCCACGUGGAGUCCUGUCCCCCCCACCCCUCACUCUCCACCCUCCAAGUAAAGACCACAUGGAACAAAAUGUACACAGACAGACAGAGUAGCUCCCUGUGAGCCUCGUGCACGUUCACUGUUAAUAUCUCAAUGUAAAACAGAUGUGUGGAGGUGCUCAAAAUAAACAAGAACACAGUUAUCACCAUCAAACCUCAGAAGGCCUGGAUUUAUGUGUGUGUGUGUGUGUGUGUGUGUGUGUGUGUGUGUGUCUGCACGUGAGGCACGAGAACAGGGAGUGGUUUUGGGGUGAAGCCGGGAGCGAGUGGGGGAGGAGAGAUUACGUCAGAGACCAGAGAGGAAAAACUCCAACAGAAAAGAAAAUAAAAUCACUUCAGGAACGAGAGAGAAAAUGUGAACUCGUCACUUUCGGCCCUGAAACAGUCGAACCUGAUUCUUCUACAGAGUCCAACCUUUGACUCCAGCAGAACCACAACUGGCAGUGAAACUGGCCCUGAGCGGAUCAGUCGGACCUGCUGACACGUCACCCCGUCUGUCUCCUGGUGUUUCACCUUUUUGUGUUGUUGUCACACUGAAGUUGAGCGUCGAUGCAACAAGUUGUCUCUCAAUUCUGCUUUUUUAAUGUUUUAGUGAAGGCCAAUUUUACUCCGUAGAGCAAAAGUUACGUGAUGGAUUUGUCAGUUUUACUUUUAUCAGCUUAAUCAAAUCCGGUCCUCUGACCAUGGGACCUUCUUCAUGAAGCCUGGGUGAACACAACAUGGUGUUUUAUUAAGAUGACAUCACUGGUACAUGUUGAAAAGACAUCUUAAAAACGUUCAUGUGUGUCAUUAAGCUGUAGAUCAUCGUGGCCCAAUGCUUCCUCCCUCUGGUUUCCUCCAGCAGACCAACACAAACUAACAUGUGAACAGUGUGAAUGUGAACACUCUGGACCCUCUCGGGUCAAACUGCAGGAGGAAGUCACGGGUGUUUAAUCAUCUCCACCUCGGAUCAGCUUUAAUGUGAACACAUCGCCCGGGUGAACACACUAACGUUCUCCACGCUUCAGACGUGAUGCUGUUACGUGUGUUGAAGUUAAAACCUCCAGCUUCUUAAUAUCUCUCCGUCCAUCAGCUCCGUUCAGUCGGCGCCGAGUUUGAAAGAGACUGGAGUUGAAGAUAUUUUUAAAAAAAAAACAAGAUGUCUCACUCUUUAGCAACUUCUGUUAUCAGCUCCAGAAAAAGAUGGUGCAUCUAAUUCAGAUUAUUAUUAAUUUGGACUUUUUUAAAAACAAUUUUAAUGUCACACUGAUUUUGUUGUGGUUUUAUCUGACAGGAAGAAGGCAUCUAUCAGUUGGAGUUGUGGAUCAAUUUCAUGAAUGUAUUUAGUGCCACAAAGCUGAGAUGAAGCAGGACGAGCACUGAAAGAAAACCAGCAGGAUUCAUAAUAACAUGCCAGUCUGUACAGACAUUAGAGGAGCGGUACAGAGCAGGACACUGUGCUGCUGGACUUCAGAUACAUUUCAGUUUGGGAGAAACCAACCGCCUCUGCCAGCAUCAAGAAUUCAUUUGCAUGCAGCUUGUUUUCAGCCGUUGGAUCGCCCUGAGGGCGGCAGGUGCUGGAGCUGAAAACUGGAAAACAGGGUUCAGCUUCUCGGGAAAGAAGCAGAGCGGUUCAGAGGUUACACGCCUGAAGAUGUCACUGAAACAGGAGGACGCAGUACAUCUGCUGUGGACUACUUUCAUCUGUGGAUUAAUCCACAUUUGGUGCUCUGAGCUCCCUGAAGUCACCACCACCGCCGCAGCCAAAACAGACUUCAUUAAAACCAUUGAGAAGAUUUAAGCCUCUCAAAGGGAUCUCUGGGCCUCUGCAGACUUGGAUUAUGUCGGACGAGACAUUUGAUGUUGUUUUGGUUGCGAAUCUUCACCUGAUUUAUCUACAACCAUGAGAUACGUCAUCGAAUCAGCUGUGAUGCUCUUCAGCGUCUGAGCUUUAGAUGUCUCAGAGGUUUUUCUUCUGACAUGAGAGUGAACUUUGGACUGCAGGUCAAACGAGACAUGUCGAAGGAUUUCACCCUCGGCUGUGGGGAGUCCUCAUGAAGAUCAAGUGUUGCCUGAGUGACGUUCUGUGUCGUCCUUAUAAAACCAGCUGCUGAGCAUCUCCCUCAGAGGAAGAAGUGCGACAUUACGUCAUUAAAUGAUUUCUCCCGGCUGGGCCGAGCGCUCACCAGCUGUUUGUGCCUCACGUGUCAAUCAGAGAAACAAAAACAAGGAGGCGGACUCGUCUCCUCUCAGCCAUCACCACCACGGUUUCAUUCAGACUGCACAGCUCGGCACUCCUGUCUGCUCUCUGUAGUAUCUGACACAUUUCUUACUGGCAUGAAUGAAAAUAUAACGUAGCUCGUGGAGCUAAAUGCUAAAUGUCUUCACUGCGUGGAGAGAUUUUUAUAGAAUAUAAAGUCUAAAUUAUCUGAUGUGAAUGUUACAGCUGACUGAAUGUCUUUGUGUUGUGGACAAAACAAGGUAUCUGUGGAGGUUAUUUCAGACUUUGGGGAAACAUUUAACAGCAUUUUUACCAUUUUCUGACAUUUUAUAGGCCAAACAACUGAUGGAUUAAUCAGGUAAUUAAUCAGCUAUGACAAUAAUUGUUAGUUGCAGCCUUAAUAUUAUAUUAAUGAGUUUUAAAUUACAUGAAUGUCUGUCUGACUCAACGUCUAGUUGGAGUUCUCACAUGCAGUUAGCUUUAGGCCACAAUUUCAGCAGCAUUUUAGCCUGUAUUUGUUUACAUUCUGGUGAAUCAGCUCCACCUAAAGUAUGCCGAAUUAGCCGUUAGCACUUCCUGUUUGCAGUGAACUCAAGGACGUACAGACAUCUAUCACUGGAUUACUUUGAACCUGGGGAAAACUUAAAAAACACGAUUAUUCUCAAUCAAGUUCUGCAGCUCUGUCUUCUAUGAUUUAUAGUUUGUCUGGAUUUGAGUAAAGUUGAAAUGUGAAUGUUUUCUAUGACAGCAAACUGGAAAUCAUUGAAGGACGUCACCUUGAGCUUUGGGGGAACAUUUAUCUGCAUGUUUUUAAGCAUUUUUUAGACCAAAACUUAAAAACAUGCAGAUUCUAAAGCGGGUUCUGCAGUAAUAACCAGCGUCUGUUUUCUAUGACUCCUCCUCUAUGACAUCAAACUGAAAACAUUUGAUGAUGUCAUCUCGAUCCAUCAAUUCUCACCAUUUUCAUUUUAAAGAUCAAACAACCGAUCGACCGAUUAAUCCAGAGUGAAAUAAUCGUUGCUGGCAGCCCCACGAGUCUGUCAGCUGUCUGGACUGAAACACUGAAACCAUCUCAACAGCUGUGAUGACACACCAUUUUUUUUUUUUUCCCUUUUUGUUGUAACUCCACCUCUGAUUGUUCUGCUAUGUUUUCUGUGUAACUCCCUCCAGCCGCCCCUCAGUGUGAUGUCUGGCCAGGCCGGAUCAUAUUACAGGCCUGAGAACGUGCAGCAACAGAUGGUGGAUCACAGGGGGGACAAAGGAAGAGGAGGAGGAGAGAGAGCAGCAGACCAUGAGGCACAAUUAUGCUCUGAAAGCUUCAUGAGUCUGAGCAGCCCGAGGUCGACCCGGAAAACCUUUUCCUGUAAUAAACCUUUAUAAACACACAGAACACUCACACAGCUACAUUAAAGGAGCAGGAAGUAGUUUUUAAAAUCUAUAUAUAUGCCUAAACAAACUGAUCUUAAAAGGACAACACAACUUCAUACUGUUUUGUUUACAUGUGGCGGACCCUGCCACCUGUCCAGCUUCAAAUACUGGGACCUUCUUGUUUAUUCACUGAUGCUUCUGAGUUUGUUUUGUUCCCAUCACUGAUUUUCUACAGUUUUAAUUCCUCCUCCUGAACUACACAGUGCCACUUUUUACAAACAUCCCUCAGACUUGAAGAAAAG